rnacentral:tRNA from 1 species
GGGCCUAUAGCUCAGUUGGCAGAGCCGCCGGCUCAUAACCGGCCGGUCCCAGGUUCGAGUCCUGGUGGGCCCACCA